rnacentral:rRNA from 1 species
CCUACGGGUGGCAGCAGUGGGGAAUAUUGCACAAUGGGGGAAACCCUGAUGCAGCGACGCCGCGUGAAGGAAGAAGGAUUUCGGUUUGUAAACUUCUAUCAGCAGGGAAGAAAAUGACGGUAUCUGACUAAGAAGCCCCGGCUAACUACGUGCCAGCAGCCGCGGUAAUACGUAGGGGGCAAGCGUUAUCCGGAUUUACUGGGUGUAAAGAGAGCGUAGGCGGUGAUGCAAGUCAGAAGUGAAAGCCCACAGCUCAACUGCGGGACUGCUUUUGAAACUGUAUGACUAGAUUGCAGGAGAGGUAGGUGGAAUUCUUAGUGUAGCGGUGAAAUGCGUAGAUAUUAGGAGGAACACCAGUGGCGAAGGCGGCUUACUGGACUGUAAAUGACGCUGAGGCUCGAAAGCGUGGGGAGCAAACAGGAUUAGAUACCCCUGUAGUC